rnacentral:rRNA from 1 species
GUAGGUGGCAAGCGUUGUCCGGAAUUAUUGGGCGUAAAGCGCGCGCAGGCGGUUCUUUAAGUCUGAUGUGAAAGCCCACGGGCUCAACCGUGGAGGGUCAUUGGAAACUGGAGAACUUGAGUACAGAAGAGGAAAGCGGAAUUCCACGUGUAGCGGUGAAGUGCGUAGAGAUGUGGAGGAACACCAGCGGCGAAGGCGGCUUUCUGGUCUGUAACUGACGCUGAGGCGCGAAAGCGUGGGGAGCAAACAGGAUUAGAUACCCUGGUAGUCCACGCCGUAAACGAUGAGUGCUAAGUGUUAGGGGGUUUCCGCCCCUUAGUGCUGCAGCUAACGCAUUAAGCACUCCGCCUGGGGAGUACGGCCGCAAGGCUG